rnacentral:misc_RNA from 1 species
GAUGAAGAACGUAGCGAAAUGCGAUACGUAAUGUGAAUUGCAAAUUCAGUGAAUCAUCGAGUCUUUGAACGCACAUUGCGCCCCCUGGUAUUCCGGGGGGCAUGCCUGUCCGAGCGUCAUUGCUGCCCUCAAGCACGGCUUGUGUGUUGGGCUCCGUCCUCCGAUCCCGGGGGACGGGCCCGAAAGGCAGCGGCGGCACCGCGUCCGGUCCUCGAGCGUAUGGGGCUUUGUCACCCGCUCUGUAGGCCCGGCCGGCGCUUGCCGAUCAACCCAAAUUUUUAUCCAGGUUGACCUCGGAUCAGGUAGGGAUACCCGCUGAACUUAAGCAUAUCAAUAAGCGGAGGA